rnacentral:rRNA from 1 species
UACGUAGGGGGCUAGCGUUGUCCGGAAUCAUUGGGCGUAAAGCGCGUGUAGGCGGCCCGGUAAGUCCGCUGUGAAAGUCGGGGGCUCAACCCUCGAAUGCCGGUGGAUACUGUCGGGCUAGAGUACGGAAGAGGCGAGUGGAAUUCCGAGUGUAGAGGUGAAAUUCGUAGAUAUUCGGAGGAACACCAGUGGCGAAGGCGGCUCACUGGUCCGGUACUGACGCUGAGGUGCGAAAGCGUGGGGAGCAAACAGG